AGAGUUUGAUCCUGGCUCAGGACGAACGCUUGCGGCGUGCCUAAGAAAUGCAAGUCGAACGGACAGGUUGAGCAAUCUUCCUGUUAGUGGCGAACGGUCGCGUAACACGUAGGCAACCUGCCCAAAAGUGGGGGACAACAGCUUGAAAGAGCUGCUAAUACCGCAUGUGGCCCGGUGGCGGCAUCGCUACUGGUCUAAAGCUUAAUGCGCUUUUGGAUGGGCUUGCGGCCUAUCAGGUAGUUGGUGGGGUAAUGGCCUACCAAGCCGACGACGGGUAGCUGGUCUGAGAGGACGAUCAGCCGGAUUGGGACUGAGAUACGGCCCAGACUCCUACGGGGGGCAGCAAUUAGGAAUCUUGCGCAAUGGGGGCAACCCUGACGCAGCGACGCCGCGUGCGGGAUGAAGGCAUUCGUGUCGUAAACCGCUUUUUACGGGGAAGAAGAAUUUGACGGUACCCGUCGAAUAAGCCCCGGCUAACUACGUGCCAGCAGCCGCGGUAAUACGUAGGGGGCGAGCGUUGUCCGAAGUUACUGGGCGUAAAGCGCGCGUAGGCGGCCAUUUAAGUUCGGGGUGAAAGGUUCAACGCUCAACGUGAACAGUGCCUUGAAUACUGGGUGGCUUGAGUUCGGGAGAGGGCAGUGGAAUUCCUGGUGUAGCGGUGAAAUGCGUAGAUAUCAGGAGGAACACCGAUGGCGAAGGCAGCUGCCUGGCCUAGAACUGACGCUGAGGUGCGAAAGCGUGGGGAGCAAACAGGAUUAGAUACCCUGGUAGUCCACGCCGUAAACGAUGAGUGCUAGGUGUUCGGGGUAUCGACCCCCCGGGUGCCGCCGCUAACGCAGUAAGCACUCCGCCUGGGGAGUACGGCCGCAAGGUUGAAACUCAAAAGGAAUUGACGGA
rnacentral:rRNA from 1 species